AUUGAACGCUGGCGGCAUGCCUUACACAUGCAAGUCGAACGGCAGCACGGGGGCAACCCUGGUGGCGAGUGGCGAACGGGUGAGUAAUACAUCGGAACGUGCCCGAUAGUGGGGGAUAGCUCGGCGAAAGCCGGAUUAAUACCGCAUACGACCUACGGGUGAAAGCGGGGAUCGCAAGACCUCGCGCUAUCAGAGCGGCCGAUGUCAGAUUAGGUUGUUGGUGGGGUAAAGGCCUACCAAGCCGACGAUCUGUAGCUGGUCUGAGAGGACGACCAGCCACACUGGGACUGAGACACGGCCAGACUCCUACGGGAGGCAGCAGUGGGGAAUUUUGGACAAUGGGCGAAAGCCUGAUCCAGCCAUGCCGCGUGC
rnacentral:rRNA from 1 species